rnacentral:rRNA from 1 species
UCAGGCCUAACACAUGCAAGUCGAACGGCAGCACGGGUGCUUGCACCUGGUGGCGAGUGGCGAACGGGUGAGUAAUACAUCGGAACAUACCUUAUCGUGGGGGAUAACGCAGCGAAAGUUGCGCUAAUACCGCAUACGCCCUGAGGGGGAAAGCGGGGGACCGUAAGGCCUCGCGCGAUUAGAGCGGCCGAUGUCUGAUUAGCUUGUUGGUGAGGUAAAAGCUCACCAAGGCGAUGAUCAGUAGCUGGUCUGAGAGGACGAUCAGCCACACUGGGACUGAGACACGGCCCAGACUCCUACGGGAGGCAGCAGUGGGGAAUUUUGGACAAUGGGGGCAACCCUGAUCCAGCAAUGCCGCGUGAGUGAAGAAGGCCUUCGGGUUGUAAAGCUCUUUGUCAGGGAAGAAACAGCAGCUCUAACACAGUUUGCGA